rnacentral:tRNA from 1 species
GGGGGUAUGGCUCAGUAGCAGAGUGCUUGCUUAGCACAUGUGAGGUUCUGGGUUCAAACCCCAGCAUCACUA